CAGUAGCCGCGGGAAAACGUAGGUGGCAAGCGUUGUCCGGAAUUAUUGGGCGUAAAGGGCUCGCAGGCGGUUUCUUAAGUCUGAUGUGAAAGCCCCCGGCUCAACCGGGGAGGGUCAUUGGAAACUGGGAAACUUGAGUGCAGAAGAGGAGAGUGGAAUUCCACGUGUAGCGGUGAAAUGCGUAGAGAUGUGGAGGAACACCAGUGGCGAAGGCGACUCUCUGGUCUGUAACUGACGCUGAGGAGCGAAAGCGUGGGGAGCGAACAGGAUUAGAUACCCGCGUAGUCCCUGUCUCUUAUAA
rnacentral:rRNA from 1 species